CCUACGGGAGGCAGCAGUGGGGGAUAUUGCACAAUGGGGGGAACCCUGAUGCAGCGACGCCGCGUGGGUGAAGGAGUGCUUCGGCAUGUAAAGCCCUAUCGGCAGGGAAGAAGCAAGACGGUACCUGACUAAGAAGCCCCGGCUAACUACGUGCCAGCAGCCGCGGUAAUACGUAGGGGGCGAGCGUUAUCCGGAUUCACUGGGUGUAAAGGGAGCGUAGACGGCGAAGCAAGCCAGGGGUGAAAGCCCGGGGCCCAACCCCGGGACUGCCUUUGAAACUGCUUGGCUGGAGUACGGGAGGGGCAAGCGGAAUUCCUGGUGUAGCGGUGAAAUGCGUAGAUAGUAGGAGGAACACCAGCGGCGAAGGCGGCCUACUGGACGGCAACUGACGUUGAGGCUCGAAAGCGUGGGGAGCGAACAGGAUUAGAUACCCCGGUAGUC
rnacentral:rRNA from 1 species